AUUGAACGCUGGCGGCAGGCUUAACACAUGCAAGUCGAGCGGAGAUGAGGUGCUUGCACCUUAUCUUAGCGGCGGACGGGUGAGUAAUGCUUAGGAAUCUGCCUAUUAGUGGGGGACAACAUUCCGAAAGGAAUGCUAAUACAGCAUACGUCCUACGGGAGAAAGCAGGGGAUCUUCGGACCUUGCGCUAAUAGAUGAGACUAAGUCGGAUUGGCUAGUUGGUGGGGUAAAGGCCUACCAAGGCGACGAUCUGUAGCGGGUCGAAGUGGAUGAUCCGCCACCCGUAGACUGAGGCACGGCCCAGACUCCUACAGGAGGCAGCAGUGGGGAAUAUUGGACAAUGGGCGAAAGCCUGAUCCAGCCAUGCCGCGUGUGUGAAGAAGGCCUUUUGGUUGUAAAGCACUUUAAGCGAGGAGGAGGCUACCUAGAUUAAUACUCUGGGAUAGUGGACGUUACUCGCAGAAUAAGCACCGGCUAACUCUGUGCCAGCCGCCGCCGUAACAC
rnacentral:rRNA from 1 species